rnacentral:tRNA from 3 species
GGCGCUUUAGCUCAGUUGGAUAGAGCAUACGCCUCCGGAGCGUAAGGUCAUGGGUUCAAAUCCCAUAAGUGCCGCCA